rnacentral:rRNA from 1 species
AGUGAACGCUGGCGGUAGGCCUAACACAUGCAAGUCGAACGGCAGCACAGUAAGAGCUUGCUCUUACGGGUGGCGAGUGGCGGACGGGUGAGGAAUACAUCGGAAUCUACUUUUUCGUGGGGGAUAACGUAGGGAAACUUACGCUAAUACCGCAUACGACCUACGGGUGAAAGCAGGGGAUCUUCGGACCUUGCGCGAUUGAAUGAGCCGAUGUCGGAUUAGCUAGUUGGCGGGGUAAAGGCCCACCAAGGCGACGAUCCGUAGCCGGUCUGAGAGGAUGAUCGGCCACACUGGAACUGAGACACGGUCCAGGGUCCUACGGGAGGCAGCAGUGGGGAAUAUUGGACAAUGGGCGCAAGCCUGAUCCAGCCAUACCGCGUGGGUGAAGAAGGCCUUCGGGUUGUAAAGCCCUUUUGUUGGGAGAGAAAAGCAGCAGGUUAAUACCCCGCUGUUCUGACGGUACCCAAAGAAUAAGCACCGGCUAACUUCGUG